UAAGGAAUAUUGGUCAAUGGACGCAAGUCUGAACCAGCCAUGCCGCGUGAAGGAUGAAGGUCCUCUGGAUUGUAAACUUCUUUUAUCUGGGACGAAAACGGGAUUUUUAUCUCAAUUGACGGUACCAGAGGAAUAAGCACCGGCUAACUCCGUGCCAGCAGCCGCGGUAAUACGGAGGGUGCGAGCGUUAUCCGGCUUUACUGGGUUUAAAGGGUGCGUAGGUGGGCUUAUAAGUCAGUGGUGAAAUCUCCGAGCUUAACUUGGAAACUGCCGUUGAUACUAUAGGUCUUGAAUUAUCUGGAGGUAAGCGGAAUAUGUCAUGUAGCGGUGAAAUGCUUAGAUAUGACAUAGAACACCAAUUGCGAAGGCAGCUUACUACAUAUAAAUUGACGCUGAGGCACGAAAGCGUGGGGA
rnacentral:rRNA from 1 species